rnacentral:lncRNA from 1 species
ACAACUUGAUUUCUAUCCACAAGUUAGUGAAGCAGUUACAUUGUAUAGUUAUGUUCACUGAAAAUUCAUGCUUACUACACAUGAUACAGGACCCUUCUCUGAGGAGGCCUCCGGAUAUUGGUAGAGAAGCUGCUGGCUUAUAUAAACUAGCUUGGGUUCCUCGUUCCCCUUCUUCCUCUGUUAGUUGUUCCUCUACUUCUGUUUGUUCUUUAUCUGCUUCUUGUAA